rnacentral:rRNA from 1 species
UACGUAGGGACCAAGCGUUGUUCGGAAUUACUGGGCGUAAAGGGCGCGUAGGCGGCACGGCAAGUCGGGAGUGAAAGGCCUGGGCUCAACCGAGGAACUGCUUUCGAGACUGCCGAGCUAGAGUGCGGAAGGGGCAACUGGAAUUCCCAGUGUAGCGGUGAAAUGCGUAGAUAUUGGGAAGAACACCUGAGGCGAAGGCGGGUUGCUGGGCCGACACUGACGCUGAGGCACGAAAGCGUGGGGAGCA